GUAAGUAGAACAUGGACUAGUUUGCCAUGGAUACAAACUUGAAAGUGACUGUAACAAGCAUGAAGAUGAAGCAUGCAGGAGGUGAUGUUGAGUGGAGAAAAAGCACACAACGUGGAAAGAAGACAUCUAAUCCAUUGUACUGUCCAGAAGGCUCUCCCUGCCUCAUGACCUUGGCUGACUCUGCUCUGAACUAUUCCAUAUGAAAAGCUAAGCUAUGGCUUCCAGGGGCUUCUUUUAUUUAUUUGAGAUUAAAAACAUUUAGCAGGAACCUAGCACAACUGUUCUUUGAGAGGCUCCACCAAGCAGUUGACUAAAACAAAUGCAGAUACCCAGAGCCAAACAUUGGAUAGAGGUUGGGGACCUUACGGAAGAGUUGGGAGAAUGAUUGAAGGCCCUGAAGAGGAUAGGAACCCCACAGGGAGACCAACUUUGUCAUCUAACCUGGACCCCUGGG
rnacentral:lncRNA from 1 species